rnacentral:rRNA from 1 species
UACGGAGGGUGCGAGCGUUGUCCGGAAUCACUGGGCGUAAAGGGCGCGUAGGCGGCGCGGAUAGUCGGCGGUGAAAGCCCGGAGCUCAACUCCGGGUCGGCCGUCGAUACUUCCGGGCUUGAGCACUGUAGAGGCAGAUGGAAUUCCGGGUGUAGCGGUGGAAUGCGUAGAGAUCCGGAAGAACACCGGUGGCGAAGGCGGUCUGCUGGGCAGUUGCUGACGCUGAUGCGCGACAGCGUGGGGAGCAAACGAGGAUUAGAGUACCCCAGUACCGUC